CAGCAGCCGCGGUAAUACGUAGGGGGCGAGCGUUGUCCGGAAUUACUGGGCGUAAAGGGUGCGUAGGCGGAUAUGCAAGUCCGAUGUGAAAUGUUACGGCUUAACCGUGGAGUUGCAUUGGAAACUGUAUAUCUAGAGUUCAGGAGAGGGAAGCGGAAUUCCUAGUGUAGCGGUGAAAUGCGUAGAUAUUAGGAGGAACACCAGUGGCGAAGGCGGCUUCCUGGACUGUAACUGACGCUGAGGCACGAAAGCUGGGGCAGCGAACAGGAUUAGAUACCCUGGUAGUCCCAGCCGUAAACGAUGGGUACUAGGUGUUGUCACUUCAUUGUGGCAGUGCCGGAGUUAACGCAAUAAGUACCCCGCCUGGGGAGUACGGCCGCAAGGCUGAAACUCAAAGGAAUUGACGGGGGCCCGCACAAGCGGUGGAGCAUGUGGUUUAAUUCGAAGCAACGCGUAGAACCUUACCAGGGCUUGACAUCCCUCUGACUGGCAUAGAGAUAUGCCUUCUCUUCGGAGCAGAGGAGGUGCAUGGCC
rnacentral:rRNA from 1 species